UUAAGUUAUUAAGGGCGCACGGUGGAUGCCUUGGCACUAGAAGCCGAUGAAGGACGUUACUAACGACGAUAUGCUUUGGGGAGCUGUAAGUAAGCUUUGAUCCAGAGAUUUCCGAAUGGGGAAACCCAGCAUGAGUUAUGUCAUGUUAUCGAUAUGUGAAUACAUAGCAUAUCAGAAGGCACACCCGGAGAACUGAAACAUCUUAGUACCCGGAGGAAGAGAAAGAAAAUUCGAUUCCCUUAGUAGCGGCGAGCGAAACGGGAAGAGCCCAAACCAACAAGCUUGCUUGUUGGGGUUGUAGGACACUCUGUACGGAGUUACAAAGGACGACAUUAGACGAAUCAUCUGGAAAGAUGAAUCAAAGAAGGUAAUAAUCCUGUAGUCGAAAAUGUUGUCUCUCUUGAGUGGAUCCUGAGUACGACGGAGCACGUGAAAUUCCGUCGGAAUCUGGGAGGACCAUCUCCUAAGGCUAAAUACUCUCUAGUGACCGAUAGUGAACCAGUACCGUGAGGGAAAGGUGAAAAGCACCCCGGAAGGGGAGUGAAAUAGAACCUGAAACCGUGUGCUUACAAGUAGUCAGAGCCCGUUAAUGGGUGAUGGCGUGCCUUUUGUAGAAUGAACCGGCGAGUUACGAUUUGAUGCAAGGUUAAGCAGUAAAUGUGGAGCCGUAGCGAAAGCGAGUCUGAAUAGGGCGUUUAGUAUUUGGUCGUAGACCCGAAACCAGGUGAUCUACCCUUGGUCAGGUUGAAGUUCAGGUAACACUGAAUGGAGGACCGAACCGACUUACGUUGAAAAGUGAGCGGAUGAACUGAGGGUAGCGGAGAAAUUCCAAUCGAACCUGGAGAUAGCUGGUUCUCUCCGAAAUAGCUUUAGGGCUAGCCUCAAGUGAUGAUUAUUGGAGGUAGAGCACUGUUUGGACGAGGGGCCCCUCUCGGGUUACCGAAUUCAGACAAACUCCGAAUGCCAAUUAAUUUAACUUGGGAGUCAGAACAUGGGUGAUAAGGUCCGUGUUCGAAAGGGAAACAGCCCAGACCACCAGCUAAGGUCCCAAAAUAUAUGUUAAGUGGAAAAGGAUGUGGCGUUGCCCAGACAACUAGGAUGUUGGCUUAGAAGCAGCCAUCAUUUAAAGAGUGCGUAAUAGCUCACUAGUCGAGUGACACUGCGCCGAAAAUGUACCGGGGCUAAACAUAUUACCGAAGCUGUGGAUUGUCCUUUGGACAAUGGUAGGAGAGCGUUCUAAGGGCGUUGAAGCAUGAUCGUAAGGACAUGUGGAGCGCUUAGAAGUGAGAAUGCCGGUGUGAGUAGCGAAAGACGGGUGAGAAUCCCGUCCACCGAUUGACUAAGGUUUCCAGAGGAAGGCUCGUCCGCUCUGGGUUAGUCGGGUCCUAAGCUGAGGCCGACAGGCGUAGGCGAUGGAUAACAGGUUGAUAUUCCUGUACCACCUAUAAUCGUUUUAAUCGAUGGGGGGACGCAGUAGGAUAGGCGAAGCGUGCGAUUGGAUUGCACGUCUAAGCAGUAAGGCUGAGUAUUAGGCAAAUCCGGUACUCGUUAAGGCUGAGCUGUGAUGGGGAGAAGACAUUGUGUCUUCGAGUCGUUGAUUUCACACUGCCGAGAAAAGCCUCUAGAUAGAAAAUAGGUGCCCGUACCGCAAACCGACACAGGUAGUCAAGAUGAGAAUUCUAAGGUGAGCGAGCGAACUCUCGUUAAGGAACUCGGCAAAAUGACCCCGUAACUUCGGGAGAAGGGGUGCUCUUUAGGGUUAACGCCCAGAAGAGCCGCAGUGAAUAGGCCCAAGCGACUGUUUAUCAAAAACACAGGUCUCUGCUAAACCGUAAGGUGAUGUAUAGGGGCUGACGCCUGCCCGGUGCUGGAAGGUUAAGAGGAGUGGUUAGCUUCUGCGAAGCUACGAAUCGAAGCCCCAGUAAACGGCGGCCGUAACUAUAACGGUCCUAAGGUAGCGAAAUUCCUUGUCGGGUAAGUUCCGACCCGCACGAAAGGCGUAACGAUUUGGGCACUGUCUCAACGAGAGACUCGGUGAAAUCAUAGUACCUGUGAAGAUGCAGGUUACCCGCGACAGGACGGAAAGACCCCGUGGAGCUUUACUGUAGCCUGAUAUUGAAAUUCGGCACAGCUUGUACAGGAUAGGUAGGAGCCUUUGAAACGUGAGCGCUAGCUUACGUGGAGGCGCUGGUGGGAUACUACCCUAGCUGUGUUGGCUUUCUAACCCGCACCACUUAUCGUGGUGGGAGACAGUGUCAGGCGGGCAGUUUGACUGGGGCGGUCGCCUCCUAAAAGGUAACGGAGGCGCUCAAAGGUUCCCUCAGAAUGGUUGGAAAUCAUUCAUAGAGUGUAAA
rnacentral:rRNA from 2 species